rnacentral:rRNA from 1 species
UCGAAGACUACGACGUUGAUAGGUUGGGUGUGUAAGCGCUGUGAGGCGUUGAGCUAACCAAUACUAAUUGCCCGUGAGGCUUGACCAUAUAACACCCAAGCAAUU